rnacentral:rRNA from 1 species
CCUACGGGUGGCAGCAGUGGGGGAUAUUGCACAAUGGGGGGAACCCUGAUGCAGCGACGCCGCGUGGGUGAAGGAGUGCUUCGGCAUGUAAAGCCCUAUCGGCAGGGAAGAAGCAAGACGGUACCUGACUAAGAAGCCCCGGCUAACUACGUGCCAGCAGCCGCGGUAAUACGUAGGGGGCGAGCGUUAUCCGGAUUCACUGGGUGUAAAGGGUGCGUAGGUUGUUUUAUAAGUUAGCGGUGAAAUACCGAUGCUCAACAUCGGGGCUGCCGCUGAUACUGUAGGACUAGAGAUCGGAUGCAGCAGGCGGAAUGUGUAGUGUAGCGGUGAAAUGCAUAGAUAUUACACAGAACACCGAUUGCGAAGGCAGCUUGCUAGGCCGGAUCUGACACUGAUGCACGAAAGCGUGGGGAUCGAACAGGAUUAGAUACCCCAGUAGUC